rnacentral:misc_RNA from 1 species
GUCGCGCACAUCGAUUUUGCACCGAGAGAGUCGCAAGUUUUAGUUUAAGAGAGCGGCUCUUCUCUCGUGUGUUGUUGCACAUCUGACCUUAAGUACCUACUUACCUACUGAUACAACAAGGAACUGGUCUUUUGAGUUUUAUUGGUGUACUGAGGACUAAAGUGGGAAGCAGAAAUGAUAAUGGUGACUACUGCCAAAGGAAGCAACGUCUCUGAACCAGACCUGCUGAAGAAUGGUCAGGACAAGUGAUCGUCUUGAUUUGUUCGACUGCUCAAAAGUGCCAUGAAUUGACAGCGAUGCCAUUGUGAUAAAGAGGACCGAUUUUCAUAAAUCUCGAUUGGUUGGUGAGAAGGUUCUCGGGGUGCCUUAGCUUGAAUAUAGUCAUUCAGCAGCGCGUACAAAUGAGGAGAGUGACGACUUGACAGAGGAUCGUGUCGUACAGCAUCGUAACAGAUCACAACCUCCUGAAGCCGUGAAAAAAAGUAUAAGGACAGUAGCAGCCGAGCCCAAAACAACAAACACACCGGAGUUGGUGAUGCGGGGAUGUGGAUCUGUUGCGGCCAUCUGAGGAGCCGAGACGCCGGCAGUGCUGCUAUUUUCGGUGGUGCUGGCUCGCACGGUUACGCUCGCCAACUCAGUUCCCUGAUUCUGUUCGCCUUGCUAUGCUGCUGCUUCCAGAGCACGGCAAUCGUUGCCGAGGUCGCUCCCCAGCCAACAACGCCGGCGACUGUAGAGUGCAAAAAUACCACGCGAGCAGGUAGCGAUGCCGAUUCCCGGUUAUUGGGUAUCGGCCAGUCAACGUCGUCGUCGUCGUCGGUCGAGCUCAACUUGCCACUAGUGCCUCCAGCCUUUCUCAACGGAGCUCUCACUUGCCAGCCUUAUCAGGACAUCAAGGUGAACCACUUGUACUUCCAAUUGGCCAAUGGUUUCUUCCUACUGGCCCACCUGGCACCGGCGAGCGGCCUCCACGGUGUACUCUAUUUGCGCUGCACCCUCCUCAUAGGCUGUGCCUUCCUCGCGCUCUGGGCCUGGACAGUUGUCUGCUGGUUGGACGCCGUCCUCUGGAACGUUCUGUUUAUCGGCAUCGGUUUCAUACACAUCUGCGUGCUUCUCUAUCGGCUCAGGCCUAUUCGUUUUUCCAAGGAGAUCGAGGAGGUGUACGUCGCUGUCUUUCAACCGCUUCGGGUGUCCCGGCAACAAUUCAAAAAAGUCCUGAGCUGCAUGAAGACCAUCAGACCCCUCAAGUAUCAAGAGGUUUACGCUCAGGAGAAAGUCACCAAAGUUGAUUCGCUUUCUUUGGUGCUCUCGGGGAAGUUGGUAGUGUCACAAAAUGGCAAGGCACUCCACAUAGUUUUUCCACAUCAAUUCUUAGACUCGCCAGAGUGGUUUGGUGUUUCCACAGAUGAGUUUAUUCAAGUUUCAAUCACUGCUAUGGAGGAAUCGAGGAUUUUAUUGUGGCAUCGUGACAAGCUAAAACUUAGCAUAAUAACCGACCAGUUUCUCCAAGCGGUCUUUGAUCAUAUUCUUGGCAGAGACGUGGUGAAAAAACUCAUGCAGGUGAGCGAAACGAUGGCGGCGAGUGCUCACCAGCAACAGAACGGCCAGGUGAUUGGGCUGAGUGGUAUGACGAGCCAGGAUCACGACCUCGACGUGAAGAUGUUUGUUGUAAAAAAAACCAACGACAGCCAAGGCAUAACGGCGCUAAUUAGCCGUCAGCUGCAAGAGGAGCGAGUACCGCUGCUGUACUCGAGCUGCGACGUCCUGAGCAACGCCCUUCAUCGCCAUCCCGACCUACGGUCGCUGCCUGCUAGUCGUGCGUCCUACCUGCUUCCCCCGUAUCCGAACAAUGUGCGUUCCUCUCGGUAAAAAAACAACCUGAUGGCCACGCUCAAGAUUUUUCAUUGUAUUGUUACCGUUCAACGUAUACCAAAAAUCAGUAUAUACAUGUAGAGACAUCGCCGUGUGUACAUAAUAUUUAUAUACGUAUGGUUCAAUUUAAAAAAAUAAUAUACAUUUGAUCGUGAUGGAGCGAGCUUUGGUGGAAAACGAGAACAGAGGGAAAGAGAAAGAUAGUAGAAUAGUUGUGGAUAUGUGCGUGACAAGGUUUACCUAGGAUUAAAUAUUAUUACUGUGCUGCGGGAGAUCCAAAUGCUUGGCGCUUG